CCUACGGGGGGCUGCAGUGAGGAAUAUUGGUCAAUGGGCGCGAGCCUGAACCAGCCAAGUAGCGUGAAGGAUGACUGCCCUACGGGUUGUAAACUUCUUUUAUAAAGGAAUAAAGUGAGGCACGUGUGCCUUUUUGUAUGUACUUUAGGAAUAAGGAUCGGCUCACUACGUGCCAGCAGACGCGGUAAUACGGAGGAUCCGAGCGUUAUCCGGAUUUAUUGGGUUUAAAGGGAGCGUAGAUGGGUUGUUAAGUCAGUUGUGAAAGUUUGCGGCUCAACCGUAAAAUUGCAAUUGAUACUGGCAGUCUUGAGUACAGUUGAGGUAGGCGGAAUUCGUGGUGUAGCGGUGAAAUGCUUAGAUAUCACGAAGAACUCCGAUUGCGAAGGCAGCUUACUAAACUGCCACUGACAUUGCUGCUCGAAAGUGUGGGUAUCAAACAGGAUUAGAUACCCUUGUAGUC
rnacentral:rRNA from 1 species